UGGUGGAACAUUCAUGCUCAAAAACGAGCAUGAGGCUUGACAGUUAUUCAAGAUCCUAAGCAAAAAUUCUAUACAUUAUAUGUCUGCCACAUCUAGAGAAGCUCCCAGGUUAGGAUCCAAAAGAGGUGGAAUGUAUGAGGUAAGCCACUCCGUAUACAUCCACAGCAAAGUGGACGCACUAUCCCAGAAACUCGACCGACUACUGC
rnacentral:lncRNA from 1 species